AUUGAACGCUGGCGGCAUGCUUUACACAUGCAAGUCGAACGGCAGCGCGGGCUUCGGCCUGGCGGCGAGUGGCGAGCGGGUGAGUAAUGCAUCGGAACGUGCCCAGUAGUGGGGGAUAGCCCGGCGAAAGCCGGAUUAAUACCGCAUACGACCUGCGGGUGAAAGCGGGGGACCGAAAGGCCUCGCGCUAUUGGAGGGGCCGAUGUCGGGUUAGCUAGUUGGUGGGGUAAAGGCUUACCAAGGCGGCGAUCCGUAGCUGGUCUGAGAGGACGACCAGCCACACUGGGACUUGGACGCGGCCCAGACUCCUACGGGAGGCAGCAGUGGGGAAUUUUGGACAAUGGGGGCAACCCUUAUCCAGCCGUGCCGCGUGCGGGAAGAAGGCCUUCGGGUUGUAAACCGCUUUUGUGCGUGAAGAACUCCUCUGGGCUAAUACCCCGGGGGGAUGACGGUACCGGAAGAAUAAGCACCGGCUAACUACGUG
rnacentral:rRNA from 1 species